GUGAGAUAAAUUUGCCAAGGAUCAGCUUCUGUCUCUGGCUACAUUCCCCCCUCCUCAGUGAAACAGCAUUUAAAAGGAAACAUCCCUGAAUCAUUUUUUACUAAUGAUUGAACAACAGCAUGGUCACUUCCUCCUGCUGGCUGUAGUCUUCCUUCUUCCCAGAACAGGUUAGGAAUAAAAGACACAAUGAUAUGGAAACAUUUCCCAGAAACUACAUUUCCAACUUUGUUAUUAAUCUCUCAAAUCUAAAUAGAGGUGCUAAAGUGGAACGCACAGAAAAAUAAGGUCCUGACCUGCCCUAGGACCCUCCCCGACAUGUGUGUGUGACUUUUUCCCAAGAUGGAUUCCUGCCUUAGCAUCACAUAUUAUGGGACAGUGCCUUUUCCUUUUUGACCCCCAAGGAGGCUUUCUGGGCAUGUGAAAUGUCUCCUUUGCCUCAAGGAUGGGACAUAUAUAACCUCCUGAUCCUUUACUCAAACAAGGUUUAGCCCAUCUCUGUUCCUGCCAUGACUGUUAUCUUACAAUGUCCACAAGAGACAAGGCCUGGCUUUAGUUAUGCUUCCAUUUUGGAGAGCAAACAGGAAGAUGGUUAUAAGUGUCUAACCUGGAGCCCCCUUAGCCCCUGUCUCAGGAAAUGCAAAAGGAAGCCAGUUGUGAAUGCCUAGCCUGGGGCCCGUCUGUCUCCCACCUCAAUCCCUCAGAGUUUAUUGUUGUAAUUAAAAACAAUACAGUUUUAUCUAUGUUCCAUUUAUUGUUUUGUUUAUGUAUUACCAUGCGUUCCUGUUCAAAGGAAAACUAAAGUAAGCUGACGUGCCAGAAGUGUGUCUGC
ensembl:lncRNA